AUUGAACGCUGGCGGCAGGCCUAACACAUGAAAGUCGAACGAGUGGCGGACGGGUGAGUAAUGUCUGUGAAACUGCCCGAUGGAGGGGGAUAACUACUGGAAACGGUAGCUAAUAUCGCAUACCAUCGUAUGUGCCAAGAUGGGAUUAGCUUGGAGGUGAGGGAACGGCUCACCUAGGCGACGAUCCCGAGCUGGUAUGAGAGGAUGACCAGCCACACUGGAACGGAGACACGGUCCAGACUCCUACGGGAGGCAGCAGUGGGGAAGAUUGGACAAUGGGAGGAAGCCGGAGGCAGCCAUGCCGCGUGUGUGAAGAAGGCCUUCGGGUUGUAAAUUACUUUGGGCGGGGAGGCGUUACCCGACGAAGAAGCAACGGCUAACUCCGUGCCAGCAGCCGCGGUAAUUC
rnacentral:rRNA from 1 species